rnacentral:rRNA from 1 species
CUUUAAAUGGGCGAAGGGCCCCGCCUGCGGAAGCGAGGCGGCGGACUCGGAUGCAGAGCGCCCAGUGGGCCACUUUUGGUAAGCAGAACUGGCGCUGCGGGAUGAACCGAACGCCGGGUUACGGCGCCCGAUGCGAGACGCUCACGAGACCCCAUGAAAGGCGUUGGUUGCUCCAGACAGCCGGGCGGUGGCCAUGGAAGUCGGAACCCGCCAAGGAGUGUGUAACAACUCACCGGCCGAAGCAACUAGCCCUGAAAAUGGAUGGCGCUCCAGCGUCGAGCCCAAACCCGGCCGUCGCGGCAGAGCGAGCUGGCUUAGGCCGCGACGAGUAGGAGGGUCGCGGCGGCGUGCGUCGAAGGUGCCGGGCGCGAGCCCGCCUGGAGCCGCCGCCGGUGCAGAUCUUGGUGAUAGUAGCAAAUACUCGAGUGAGAGCCUCGAGGACCGAGGUGGAGAAGGGUUCCAUGUGAACAGCAGUUGAACAUGGGUCAGUCGGCCCUAAGGGAUCGGCGAAGGCCGUUCCGAAGCGGGGGCUUUUCCGAGCGGAUCGCCCCCGGAGCGACCGAAAGGGAAUCGGGUCAAUAUUCCCGAACCCGGACGCGGAGAUCGGCCCCUCGGGGCCGAGCGCGGCGACGCAACCGAACUCGGAGACGUCGACGGGAGUCCCGGGGAGAGUUUUCUUUUCUUUGUAAGGGCCCGGCUCCCUGGAAUCGGCUCGUCCGGAGAUAGGGACGCUGGCGCCCGUAAAGCACCGCGGCUCUUGCGGUGUCCGGAGCGCUCCCGUCGGCCCUUGAAAAUCCGAGGGAGGAGGUGUGAUUCUCGCGCCGGGCCGUACCCAUAUCCGCAGCAGGU